GACGAACGCUGGCGGCGUGCUUAACACAUGCAAGUCGAACGGUAAGGCCCUUCGGGGUACACGAGUGGCGAACGGGUGAGUAACACGUGGGUGAUCUGCCCUGCACUUCGGGAUAAGCCUGGGAAACUGGGUCUAAUACCGGAUAGGACCACUGCCUGCAUGGGUGGUGGUGGAAAGCUUUUGCGGUGUGGGAUGGGCCCGCGGCCUAUCAGCUUGUUGGUGGGGUGAUGGCCUACCAAGGCGACGACGGGUAGCCGGCCUGAGAGGGUGACCGGCCACACUGGGACUGGGAUACGGCCCAGACUCCUACGGGGGGCAGCAGUGGGGAAUAUUGCACAAUGGGCGCAUGCCUGGUGCAGCGACGCCGCGAGAGGGAUGACGGCCUUCGGGUUGUAAACCUCUUUCAGUAGGGACGAAGCGCAAGUGACGGUACCUACAGAAGAAGGACCGGCCAACUACGUGCCAGCCGCCGCCGUAA
rnacentral:rRNA from 1 species